rnacentral:lncRNA from 1 species
UGUAUAGCUUCAUUUACAACACUAGGCAACACUGCAUUUAUAGCACUAGGCAAUGCUUCUUUAAUAGCCUCAGUGAUGUCUGUGUGUGAAACUGACUUGACUGUAGAAACACCUGUAUCUUCAGGUAAUGGCACAUCUCUAUGAUCAUGAAUACCAAUAUCCAGAAUGCGGCCUAACCCAUGAACUCGUCCUUUCUUGUUGGUUCCUGCAACUUCUGUCCACACGUCAGGAUCAACUUCAGGUUGAUCUAUUAAAUCUUCUCCAUAUUUUUGUG